AUACACACUUACAGAAUUACUUUAAAGCAAAACAAAACGACUGAGGACUUCAUACGCGGAAAGUUACUUACAGUGCACAUGACUUAUGGACCAUUGGAUCCAGUUCAUCUGGUUCAUCCAGCUCUGCCUGUAUGUGAAAUACCAUGUAUUAAUAUAACUAUUAUUUACACUAAUACUUUUGGUUACACAGUAUGUAGUAGUUUUUAUUUCUUUGCCCUACAGAGUAAGGGAUAUGUUUGAGCAACUAGUCAACAGAAGCAGAGCUCUGGGACGUGUGGACAGACAUUCGCUGUAAAGAUGGACAUCUGCUCGUGGACAGUCUGUCCAAAAGCAUAACCACUGCUGGUCACAGUGCGGGAAGCUCCAGGGGGAGACCGUACUGGUAUCCCCCUUCUUUGGGCGCGCCUUCACACACACUCCACCAUUCACUCAUAUCACAGAGACCUGGCUGGGAUCGAACCAGCAACCUCUGAACCCGUGAGGCAGCGCUCUUACCUGUGAGCCACAGGUCUCUUGUUUGAGCUUGUGGAGGAACUUAUUUUUCACUGUUA